ACACAUGCAAGUCGAACGGUAACGCGGGGCAACCUGGCGACGAGUGGCGAACGGGUGAGUAAUGUAUCGGAACGUGCCCAGUUGUGGGGGAUAACUGCUCGAAAGAGCAGCUAAUACCGCAUACGACCUGAGGGUGAAAGCGGGGGAUCGCAAGACCUCGCGCAGUUGGAGCGGCCGAUAUCAGAUUAGGUAGUUGGUGGGGUAAAGGCUCACCAAGCCAACGAUCUGUAGCUGGUCUGAGAGGACGACCAGCCACACUGGGACUGAGACACGGCCCAGACUCCUACGGGAGGCAGCAGUGGGGAAUUUUGGACAAUGGGGGCAACCCUGAUCCAGCCAUGCCGCGUGCGGGAAGAAGGCCUUCGGGUUGUAAACCGCUUUUGUCAG
rnacentral:rRNA from 1 species